UACAGAGGGUGCGAGCGUUGUCCGGACUCACUGGGCGUAAAGGGCGCGUAGGUGGCGACCCAAGUCCGUGGUGAAAGCUCGUCGCUUAACGACGAGUCGGACACGGAGACUGGGUGGCUCGAGCACUGUAGGGGCAGAUGGAAUUCCGGGUGUAGCGGUGGAAUGCGUAGAGAUCCGGAAGAACACCAGUGGCGAAGGCGGUCUGCUGGGCAGUUGCUGACACUGAGGCGCGACAGCGUGGGGAGCAAACAGG
rnacentral:rRNA from 1 species